rnacentral:misc_RNA from 1 species
AAAAUACAUCACAAGGCAUUGGAUUUAGACAUAACUUAAUUGAACCUGAUAACUUAAUUACAGGUUUGAUAUAUGAGGAACCAAAUCCUGUUCACCAGUGCUAUCAUAGAAAUUAAACUAUGUCAAAAUCUACUAAAUUGAAAACAAGAUCAAAAAAUAAAAUGAAUACAAGUCCAACCAUAUUGUAUAUCAUAAAAACUUAAACCAACAUUCGGAACGCUAUUAAAACUAAUGUAUUUGAGAAAAUUCCACUAAACAGAAUCAUGCAGAUAUUGA